rnacentral:rRNA from 1 species
GACGAACGCUGGCGGCGUGCCUAAUACAUGCAAGUUGAGCGCUGAAGGUUGGUACUUGUACCAACUGGAUGAGCAGCGAACGGGUGAGUAACGCGUGGGGAAUCUGCCUUUGAGCGGGGGACAACAUUUGGAAACGAAUGCUAAUACCGCAUAAAAACUUUAAACACAAGUUUUAAGUUUGAAAGAUGCAAUUGCAUCACUCAAAGAUGAUCCCGCGUUGUAUUAGCUAGUUGGUGAGGUAAAGGCUCACCAAGGCGAUGAUACAUAGCCGACCUGAGAGGGUGAUCGGCCACAUUGGGACUGAGACACGGCCCAAACUCCUACGGGAGGCAGCAGUAGGGAAUCUUCGGCAAUGGACGAAAGUCUGACCGAGCAACGCCGCGUGAGUGAAAGAAGGUUUUCGGAUCGUAAAAACUCUGUUGG